AACGAACGCUGGCGGCAGGCCUAACACAUGCAAGUCGAGCGCCCUCGCAAGAGGGAGCGGCGGACGGGUGAGUAACGCGUGGGAAUUUUCCUCAAGGUACGGAACAACUCAGGGAAACUUGGGCUAAUACCGUAUGAUGUCUAGCGACCAAAGAUUUAUCGCCUUGGGAUAAGCCCGCGUCAGAUUAGGUAGUUGGUGGGGUAACGGCCUACCAAGCCUGCGAUCUGUAGCUGGUCUGAGAGGACGAUCAGCCACACUGGGACUGAGACACGGCCCAGACUCCUACGGGAGGCAGCAGUGGGGAAUCUUGCGCAAUGGGCGAAAGCCUGACGCAGCCAUGCCGCGUGAAUGAUGAAGGUCUUAGGAUUGUAAAGUUCUUUCGCUCGUGACGAUGAUGACGGUAACGAGAGAAGAAGCCCCGGCUAACUUCGUGCCAGCAGCCGCGGUAAUGUCUGUACU
rnacentral:rRNA from 1 species